UUUGCUUUUCCAAGUCUAAAGUAUUCCCAGAUUCAGCAGAUAAUUCAGCCGUACCAUGUAGCCCUUCAUAUUGUCCAAAAUUCCCAUCUCGCGACACAUCAAACUGAGUACAUUCAACGACACUAUUACUUCUAUCAAGCUCAACUUGUGUAGAAUUUUUUUGGUGCAACAUGUGAUUAUUUGAGGACUUAAAGUCAACAAUUUUUUUAUGUGAGACCAAAGUCCAUUGAUUACUGGGUUUUCUGCUGUAGAGGUGCCUUGUUUGGCUUCAUCUUGCCUUGAUUUAG
rnacentral:lncRNA from 1 species